rnacentral:rRNA from 1 species
UACGUAGGGUGCAAGCGUUGUCCGGAAUUAUUGGGCGUAAAGAGCUCGUAGGCGGUUCGUCGCGUCGGCUGUGAAAUCCCGAGGCUCAACCUCGGGUCUGCAGUCGAUACGGGCGGACUGGAGUUCGGCAGGGGAGACUGGAAUUCCUGGUGUAGCGGUGAAAUGCGCAGAUAUCAGGAGGAACACCGGUGGCGAAGGCGGGUCUCUGGGCCGAUGACUGACGCUGGAGGAGCGAAAGCGUGGGGAGCGAACGG